UUUACCUACGGGACGCAGCAGUGAGGAAUAUUGGUCAAUGGGCGGGAGCCUGAACCAGCCAAGUCGCGUGAGGGAAGACGGUCCUAUGGAUUGUAAACCUCUUUAGGCGGGGAGCAAUGCCGGGCACGUGUGCCCGGAGGGAGAGUACCCGCAGAAUAAGCAUCGGCUAACUCCGUGCCAGCAGCCGCGGUAAUACGGAGGAUGCGAGCGUUAUCCGGAUUUAUUGGGUUUAAAGUGUGCGUAGUCGGAUUUUUAAUUC
rnacentral:rRNA from 1 species